rnacentral:lncRNA from 1 species
AAAAUAAAUGUGUUCUCAACGUGCACCUCCUCAGAACAAGGCUGCUGUCUGUUCCUCAGCUGGGAGGGAAGAUGAAGCCCAGCCUGUAAGCAACCUCGGGCAGGGGCUGCCGACACAAAGCUCCAGCAGUGAACACGGAUGCCUCAAAAUAAUUUGGGGAACCUGAUCAAAAGAUCCAAGUUCUGUGUGUGACAACGAAUACAGAUAUCGAAGCGGGUUCUGCUGUGCAGCUGCCGAGGGCUCCUGCCCAGGCUCUCCUAUGUUAGCCUCCUGGCAAACCCUGGUGUUCUUCCUCCAGGGAGACCUUUUCUCGUCAGUGGCUCAAUGUCAAGGGAGCUCUUUGUGUGAAUGAGGUGAGGUGAUGAGCCUAUGAAGCAAGGUGUUCUCUUUAUACAACUAUCUGGACCCCCGGUACAUUUGAAGGCUGAAUACCUUUGUUGUGGGGAAGAGCUGCUCUGACAGAGAAAUGGCUUUCCUUGAGAAAAUGGCUCACUGCUGAAGAAGUCUCCAUUAUGAAGAGGCUUCUUCCUAAAUUAAUGAUUUGCUUCAGUGCAGGCUGAUCACAGAAAAUAAUAUAAGGUACAGAUCAAAGACUCCAAAUAUUAGAACAUGGGCUAUGGAAGAUCCAUCUCCAAGCUUCCCAACUUUCUUUUCCAGAGAUUAAGGAACAAGAUAGGAGACCAUGCCUAUGACUCGUCCCACUGAUUGUCAAGUAGAAACAGUGGAGGAAUUGGAAGUUAGUUUAGCUUACAAAGUAUCACUUUUGAAAAUGCUCUUUAAGAGAAGAUUGAAAAUUAGACCAUUUCCACUCAAUAUCACCAAAACUAGACAAGACCCCUUCAUGAAGUCCUAGAGUCAUCUCUAUAAAUUAUGAUGUAUAAUAAAUAUAGUUAAUAAGGAUGACAAUCUGUUUGAUUUUGAUGUUGAGGCUUCUCACUGGAAAGGUCAUCUACUUGGCUUUACGGUGUAUUAUGGUGGUGACCCUGUCCCUCUAGUCACACAAGCUGAAAAUCCUGAUGGCAAAAUAAAUCUAUAUCCCAGGGCCCUCAGGUGCUUUCUGAAGUAAUUUACGCAUGUACCUAGUUUUGUCCUUGUGUU